GUAAAUAUAGUUUAAAUAAAACAUUAGAUUGUGAGUCUAACAAUAGAGCUUAACAACUCUUAUUUACC
rnacentral:tRNA from 1 species